CAUGGUGGCAACAUACAUCAAAGCUCUAAUGCUAUGCGAUUAUCAAUUUUUCCAUAACACUUAAGCANUUAAAUAAAAGCCCAUGAAUGGUUUUAUUUUCUGUAAUUAAUGACAGUAUUGUUUCUAGGUCUAUCNACUAAUCACCAUGUUUUAGGGAAGUUUUAUGCAUAGCUAACAGCCAUGAACGACAUUGCUUUGCCAUUGAUGAGGUUGGCAUCUCUCUCAUCCCACCUGUCAGACAUACGGCUGCUAAUGGGAUAAUGAGCAUCGAGCAAUGGCUGAACCUUCUACCAUUUACUCAACUGUGAGGCUUUUUUGACCUUUAUGGUCCUGGAAAUUUUGAAGUUUCUGAUGAAGAUCGGUUGCAUUCCUUUACAAACUCAUAUUCUUUGGGCAUUGAUUUAAUCAAAGACUACAGAAAGAAGUACCUUCUGUCUCAUAAAUCUGCUUCUCGAUACAAUUUUUAUAAGGCUUUUUCAGGGUUGUAGUUUUUACUUCACAAAGCUGAUGUUAUGCAAGAAAAUGGUUCAAAGUUCCCCCUUUCAAAUCAACUCAAAUCUGUUAAUGAUCUGUUGUCAUCAUUGCAAAAGAUGGAACUAAAUUCNUGGCCUGCUUUGCUUGAUGAUGUGAUGGAUCAGUAUGAGAAUAAUGCAGCCAAAGUGUUCUCCUCAAGGCAUCUUCCAUCAUGUGGUCAUUUAGAGCUCUGGUCCAUGCGCUUCAAAGCUAAGUAUCUCGAUCUCUAUUUUUGUUUUCAUUUGACUUGCGUUUUUGUUUCGUUCAUUGUUUCUGUUUUGAGGUUUGUUUUCUUGAUUCUAUCUUGAUUCCGUGUAUAUUGUGUUGUUUUCUUCAAUUUUUUAGUUGUCAUAAUUUUUCCUUCAAUGUCUUAAAUAUUAUGCUUACUGUUGCUUAUGAACUGUAUGAUUAAAGGUCUGAAUGAGAUUAAAUCUGAUUGUUCGUUCUUGAAUAUGGAUUUCGGUGUUAGAUCUCCAAGUUUGCUCGUUCUGUGCUUGAGUCUUUACCUUGAAUCUUGUUUUGAUCAUUUUAUUCAGUGAAUCUUUUUGUUUGAGUCAUUUUAAUUUCUAAAUCAAUUUCUGUUAUGUCAAAGUCAUGUUGUUUGUUUUAAUUGUCAAUUAAAAUCGAGUUUAGCUAGUUGUUGCUUGUGAUUUGUGAUUCAUUUGAGUUGCCUACACUGAGUAAGUUCUAUUCACCAUAUAUAAGCUAUGACAUUUGGAUAAAUGAGCUUGGUAGCAGAUUUUAGUGGUAGAGUUAAUGAAUCUCAUGUUUCUUGAAUCUGUUUAAUGAUUGUUGAUACUUUGCUUGGUUUCUACAUAAUCAGUAACAAGUGCAUACCAAGUGAGCAAUGAAAGGCUCGGCCUAGCUCGGUUGCACAUUGAUUAAUCAACAGAAUUGUGAUUUGGCCAGCUACACCGAACUGGUUUUUCUUUAUAGUCUGUGUUAAUGUCUUAAAGUGUGUCAUUCUAUGCUUAGUAUUUGUUCAUUACUAAGUUCAGUUUAUAGUCUCUAUCUUUGAGUCAUUGUUGUUUGUUGUUUUGUUAUUCAAGUUCAUUUUACACAGUUUUGGUUAAUAGUGAAAUUUGAUGCUUCAAAAGCUGUAGUUGCAUAUGACAAUUCUGAUAUACCAGUGAGUUUUCCAAUAGUAAUUCUCAAAUUUUAAGACACUGUCAUGUUCAGAUAUUCGUUUGAUGCUAGAGUCAAAAGUGAUCAAUGAAACUAAUUUUGUGUAUUUCUUUUUAUUAAGUUGAACCAUUAAUCUGAUGCAAGUAAAGUGCUGAUUUGUAAACUGCAUUGAUCUUAGUCUAUUGUAGAUUGUAGCAAGAGCUGUAAGUCAAUCACAUUGGAAGCAAUUAAGGAUUAAUCCUAUUGUUACAAGUUAUAAAAAAAAAGGAGCUGAAGGACUUAGUGCAAUUCACAAUAGCUGCCUCUAAUUCAAAACAUCAAAUAUGAAAAAUAAAACUAGUUUCUCUGAGGCACAAUGUCAAACAGUUCGGUAUCCAAAUUUAUAAAUCAAAUCUGCUGAGUACUGGUUCAACUUAGGUCCUUUUUAUUGUUUUUAAAAUCUGUUCUAGUUCUAUUCCUUAGGAUUCUGUUUAUGUGUGCCAGCUGUUUUAAAUAGCUUGUUUUUAUUUGCUUGUCUUGAUUGCUAAAUUUGGUUUUGUCCAUCAUAUGUGAAAUCUGUCUGCUUUUCAUAAUUGGAUCUUUUCUUUGCUUUAUUCAUAUGAUCUAGAGUUGUCUUAAGCAAAGGUAAUAAGUUUUAAAAAGUGGUGAUACUGAUAAGUUUCAGAUGGAUAUAUAUGCUCGUAAAACUUAUUUUCUUCUUGAACUUGAAGAGUAUUGGCCUUGCUUUCUUCUUUGUGCUGCAGUUAUGGGUUGGUCCUGGAAGUAAGGCAGCUGAAGAGAAAGAUUUUUUUGAUAGUCAUCUUGCUCCAUUCUACCGAAUUGAACAGGUUGAUGGAAUUCGAGCAAAUUAUUCUGGUUCGUUGGUAUCUCUAAGUGACAUUUGCUUGAAGCCUUUAGGCGAAGAUUGUGCCACUCAAAGCAUUUUGCAGUAUUUUCAAAUGGACCCUGACAAUUAUUACGACUAUGGAGGUGUUGACCAUGCUGAGUACUGUUUUCAAGUAAACCUCUAUAAUCUAAUUAUGGGUUACCCUUGUUAUUAAGAAGAUUUUAAUUUAAAGCAGUUUACUUUAUGAGCAGAUAGGAAUUUUAAAGAAAAAGGAUUAAUGUUUUUAAAAGCACUAAAUUCCAAUAAAUAUACUAAUUCAAGUUAAAGUCUUUGUGUGUAGGUAUGGAUGGACUACCACCUUUUAAAUUUUUUUUUCUUCGUAGUGUAGCCUUUUGCAUCAAAUGUAUUCAAUUGAACGUGUAAUGCUGUCUUGUACAAAAUAUCUCGUCGCAUGUGUUUGUAAUGCUGACUUGAAAGUGUUGUUGUGAUUUGUCUAUCUGAUAUAUGUGGGCUCUAAUUAUAUGAUUGUCAU